rnacentral:rRNA from 1 species
CUACGGGAGGCAGCAGUGGGGAAUAUUGCACAAUGGGCGCAAGCCUGAUGCAGCCAUGCCGCGUGUGUGAAGAAGGCCCUCGGGUUGUAAAGCACUUUCAGCGGGGAGGAAGGCGUUAAGGUAAAUAACCUUGGCGAUUGACGUUACCCGCAGAAGAGGCACCGGCUAACUCCGUGCCAGCAGCCGCGGUAAUACGGAGGGUGCAAGCGUUAAUCGGAAUUACUGGGCGUAAAGCGCACGCAGGCGGUCUGUCAAGUCGGAUGUGAAAUCCCCGGGCUCAACCUGGGAACUGCAUUCGAAACUGGCAGGCUAGAGUCUUGUAGAGGGGGGUAGAAUUCCAGGUGUAGCGGUGAGAUGCGUAGAGAUCUGGAGGAAUACCGGUGGCGAAGGCGGCCCCCUGGACAAAGACUGACGCUCAGGUGCGAAAGCGUGGGGAGCAAACAGGAUUAGAUACCCUAGUAGUC